GACGAACGCUGGCGGCGUGCUUAACACAUGCAAGUCGAACGGAAAGGCCUCUUUCGGGGGGUACUCGAGUGGCGAACGGGUGAGUAACACGUGAGUAACUUGCCCUUGACUUUGGGAUAACUUCAGGAAACUGGGGCUAAUACCGGAUAGGAGCUCCUGCUGCAUGGUGGGGGUUGGAAAGUUUCGGCGGUUGGGGAUGGACUCGCGGCUUAUCAGCUUGUUGGUGGGGUAGUGGCUUACCAAGGCUUUGACGGGUAGCCGGCCUGAGAGGGUGACCGGCCACAUUGGGACUGAGAUACGGCCCAGACUCCUACGGGAGGCAGCAGUGGGGAAUAUUGCACAAUGGGUGGAAGCCUGAUGCAGCAACGCCGUGUGCGGGAUGACGGCCUUCGGGCUGUAAACCGCUUUCGCUCAUGACGAAGCUUUGUGUGACGGUAGUGGGUAAAGAAGCACCGGCUAACUACGUG
rnacentral:rRNA from 1 species